UUUUAUUUGUUUGAAAAACCAACUAAACAGUUGAACUAAAUCAAUCAAGUGAACAAGCCAAAAUGGUUGGUUAAUUAAUUAAAUCAGCUUAUUGAUUGAAUGAAUUGAUGAACUUGUUAGAGCAGAUGAGUGAGAAUCUGAGAGGCCUGCAGAAGGCAGGCCCUGGAAGCUGACUAGGAAGCCUGUCUGCCAAAGGCCUGGUGAGCAGUGACAGUGAUCAGAAGCUGAGAAGAUGUGCCUGUCUUUUGUAGCCCUGCACCUGAGGGAAGAGGUGUCAAAAGUCAAAAAGAAGGACUUUGAGCACUUGCUGAUAGAGGUGAUGCAGAUGUGGGACUUUCUGCUCAGGAUCCUCAAUCAGGAAGUCCUGGAGAGUUGCUCCAAGUUGAAGAUUGUCAACAAAUUGAGUCUCCCUGCAUCCCUAGUGGGCAUCAGCUCGGGGGUGUGUAAUUCAUUCAUUGCUGGUUCAGCCUAGAUGAGCAGCUACUAAGGAGUCCAGCAAGCAAGCAUUGCAUGCCACAUUCUCUCAGCCACUUCUUCAGUAGAGUUUUCUGGGUCCUGAUCUGUACAGAGGGACAGGCAAUGGGCAGGUUGUUCCUACAGUACCUGAGGAUGCUGGACAAAGAGAUCAUCCCCAUGGAUUUCUAUGGGGUUGCGAUAUACGUCCAGCCAUUACUUUUGUUCUCAUUUGCAUUUUUAUAUGGAGAAUUUUUCAAUUUAUUGCAAGCAGGCUUUAUGUAGUAAAAAAGAAAAAGCUUGCUGUAGAACACUCUGGACUAAUAAAAGAAAAUUGUGAUCUACUUGACAAACCUAACUUUCUAGAAAAAGAGGCAACCAAUGAACAGCUGAAGAUUUGCAAAUCUAAGCUGGACGAUAAAGUUCUUUCCGUUGAAAAACAAUUUGAACAAGAAUUGGAAAAAUGUGAUCGACCUGAAUUGGUGGCAAAGAUUUUACCAGCGUUACAGGCCCUAAAAGAUGGAAGAAAGUCCCUCAACUCACAAAUUGCUGACGCUACAACAACGACCAGACCAUUUCAAAUUAUUCAUGAGGCAAUUAAGGCAGAACUAGAGAAGGUUUUCAAUGAAAAUGUGCAGCUUCACCAAGAACUGUUGCAGCUUUCAGAAGAACCUGGACCAUGGAAAGAAAAAUUACGGAAAGCUGCUGAUGAAGCACAAAUAGGACUUGAAAACACUAAAAUACGCAGAAAACAACUUCUGAGGGAUGCACGAGGCCUCUUUGAGGUUAAUGACUCCUCUGAUUUGUAUGAUUGAGCUGGCUGGAAUUUUAUUUUAACAUGGAAAUUUAUAAAGUUUUACAUGCCAAAAAAAAAGUUUUGCAAACAAAUCCUUGCUAUGGGAAAUGAUGAAUUAAAUUGCUAGACUGGGAUCUUGAAA